UGAAGCCUAUAAAUACAGGGACAAUGCAAUUGCCUUGGGUGGUGAGAAGCUCCCCUGGCUCAGCUCAAUAAAAGAGAGACAGAGAGAGAGAGAGAGAGCAAUGGGCUGCUGCUUUUCAUCUCAGAAUGAAGAAGCUGAGGGGGUGUCGAGGUACCCCUCAGGUAAGGUGAGGGACAGUGCUGACGAUGCCGCAGACCCAGAAAUCAACGAGAAAGCCGCUGGCUAUAUAGAUAAAUUCCAUGAGAGGCAGGUUCGUGAAGCCUGAGAGGAAAGAGUAAGCAGGGUUGAUGUACUCCUUGCAGUUUUUCUUAUCAGCAGCUAGCGCAAGAAUUAAGCACAUGAUGCCAUAUAAUUGUGAGGCAUUGUCGUAUUGCCUUAUUCUACUUUUGCAGCUUCUGCACCCUGUAAUUAAGAAUGAAACUAUGAGAAUAAAUUAAAUUAG